rnacentral:rRNA from 1 species
ACAGAGACUGCAAGCGUUAUUCGGAUUCACUGGGCGUAAAGGGUGCGCAGGCGGCCGUGUGUGUGAGAUGUGAAAUCCCGGAGUUUAACUCCGGAACUGCGUCUCAAACUACACGGCUAGAGCAUUGGAGAGGGAAGUGGAAUUCACGGUGUAGCAGUGAAAUGCGUAGAUAUCGUGAGGAACACCAGAGGCGAAGGCGACUUCCUGGACAAUUGCUGACGCUCAGGCACGAAAGCGUGGGGAGCAAAAGGGAUUAGAUACCCCUGUAGUCCACGCCCUAAACGGUGCAUACUAGGUUUUGGAGGAUUCGACCCCUUCAGGACCCAAGCUAACGCGUUAAGUAUGCCGCCUGAGGACUACGGCCGCAAGGCUA